GGAGGAAAGUAGGGGAUCGCAAGACCUUGUGCUUUUGGAGCGGCCGAUGCCUGAUUAGCUUGUUGGUGGGGGUAAUGGCCUACCAAGGCUUCGAUCAGUAGCUGGUCUGAGAGGACGGCCAGCCACACUGGGACUGAGACACGGCCCAGACUCCUACGGGAGGCAGCAGUGGGGAAUUUUGGACAAUGGGCGAAAGCCUGAUCCAGCCAUGCCGCGUGAGUGAAGAAGGCCUUCGGGUUGUAAAGCUCUUUCAGCCGGAAAGAAAAGAUUGCAACUAAUAAUUGCAAUUCAUGACGGUACCGGAAGAAGAAGCACCGGCUAACUACGUGCCAGCAGCCGCGGUAAUACGUAGGGUGCGAGCGUUAAUCGGAAUUACUGGGCGUAAAGGGUGCGCAGGCGGUUUUGUAAGUCAGAUGUGAAAUCCCCGGGCUUAACCUGGGAACUGCGUUUGAAACUACAAAGCUAG
rnacentral:rRNA from 1 species